rnacentral:rRNA from 1 species
UCCGCCAGAGAACUACAAGUGAAAAACUUAAAACUCAAAGGACUUGGCGGUGUCCCACAUCAGUCUAGAGGAGCCUGUCCUAUAAUCGAUGCUCCCCGCUCUACCUAACCCUAACUAGCACUCUAACUCAGCCUAUAUACCGCCGUCGACAGCUUACCCCCUGAGGGUAUAACAGUAAGCACAACAGCCCCCACUAACACGUCAGGUCAAGGUGUAGCUAAUGUUGGGGUAGAGAUUGGCUACAUUUUUUAAAUUAAAAAAAACGAAAUGUUUCAUGAAAAACAACACGAAGGCGAAUUUAAUAGUAAAACAGACAAGAGAAUCUGUUUUAACAAUGCUCUGGGACGCGCACACACC